GAUGAAAGACGGUUUCGGCUGUCACUUACAGAUGGACCCGCGGCGCAUUAGCUAGUUGGUGAGGUAACGGCUCACCAAGGCGACGAUGCGUAGCCGACNUGAGAGGGUGAUCGGCCACACUGGGACUGAGACACGGCCCAGACUCCUACGGGAGGCAGCAGUAGGGAAUCUUCCGCAAUGGACGAAAGUCUGACGGAGCAACGCCGCGUGAGUGAUGAAGGUUUUCGGAUCGUAAAGCUCUGUUGUUAGGGAAGAACAAGUGCAAGAGUAACUGCUUGCACCUUGACGGUACCUAACCAGAAAGCCACGGCUAACUACGUGCCAGCAGCCGCGGUAAUACGUAGGUGGCAAGCGUUGUCCGGAAUUAUUGGGCGUAAAGGGCUCGCAGGCGGUUUCUUAAGUCUGAUGUGAAAGCCCCCGGCUCAACCGGGGAGGGUCAUUGGAAACUGGGAAACUUGAGUGCAGAAGAGGAGAGUGGAAUUCCACGUGUAGCGGUGAAAUGCGUAGAGAUGUGGAGGAACACCAGUGGCGAAGGCGACUCUCUGGUCUGUAACUGACGCUGAGGAGCGAAAGCGUGGGGAGCGAACAGGAUUAGAUACCCUGGUAGUCCACGCCGUAAACGAUGAGUGCUAAGUGUUAGGGGGAUUCCGCCCCUUAGUUUUC
rnacentral:rRNA from 2 species